UAGGGAAUCUUCCGCAAUGGACGAAAGUCUGACGGAGCAACGCCGCGUGAGUGAUGAAAGCUUUCGGGUCGUAAAACUCUGUUGUUAGGGAAGAACAAGUGCUAGUUGAAUAAGCUGGCACCUUGACGGUACCUAACCAGAAAGCCACGGCUAACUACGUGCCAGCAGCCGCGGUAAUACGUAGGUGGCAAGCGUUAUCCGGAAUUAUUGGGCGUAAAGCGCGCGCAGGUGGUUUCUUAAGUCUGGUGUGAAAGCCCACGGCUCAACCGUGGAGGGUCAUUGGAAACUGGGUGAAUUGAGUGCAGAAGAGGAAAGUGUAAUUCCCGGUGUAGCGGUGAAUUGCGUAGAGAGAUGGAGGAACGCCAGUGGCGAAGGCGACUUU
rnacentral:rRNA from 1 species